GCGUCGGUGGUGCAACGGUCAAGCACACGCUCCUGGAAAGAAUGAGAUCUGGCUUCGAAUCCCGGCUGACGCA